rnacentral:rRNA from 1 species
GACGAACGCUGGCGGCGUGCUUAACACAUGCAAGUCGAACGGAAAGGCCCUGCUUUUGUGGGGUGCUCGAGUGGCGAACGGGUGAGUAACACGUGAGUAACCUGCCCUUGACUUUGGGAUAACUUCAGGAAACUGGGGCUAAUACCGGAUAGGAGCUCCUGCUGCAUGGUGGGGGUUGGAAAGUUUCGGCGGUUGGGGAUGGACUCGCGGCUUAUCAGCUUGUUGGUGGGGUAGUGGCUUACCAAGGCUUUGACGGGUAGCCGGCCUGAGAGGGUGACCGGCCACGUUGGGACUAAGAUACGGCCCAGACUCCUACGGGAGGCAGCAGUGGGGAAUAUUGCACAAUGGGCGGAAGCCUGAUGCAGCAACGCCGCGUGCGGGAUGACGGCCUUCGGGUUGUAAACCGCUUUCGCCUGUGACGAAGCGUGAGUGACGGUAAUGGGUAAAGAAGCACCGGCUAACUACGUG